AUAAGAAAGAAACAAAUCCUACCAUUUGCAACAACAUGGAUGGAGCUGGAGGAAAUUAUGCUCAGUGAAAUAAGCCAGGCAGAGAAAGACAAGUAUCAAAUGAUUUCACUUAUCUGUGGAGUAUAAGAACAAAGAAAAAACUGAAGGAACAAAACAGCAGCAGACUCACAGAACCCAAGAAUGGACUAAACAGUUACCAAGGGAAAAGGGACUAGGGAGGGUGGUUGAGAUGGGAGAGAUUAGGGGGAAAAUGGGGCAUUACAAUUAGCACACAUAACGUAGGGGGGAUCACAGGGAAGGCAGUAUACCAUGGGGAAGACAAGUAAUGAUUCUAAAGCAUCUUACUAUGCUGAUGGGCAGUGACUGUAAUGGGGUACGUGAGGGGGACUUGAUAAUGGGGGGAGUCUAGUAACCAUAAUGUUCAAGUAAUUGUACAUUAAUGAUAUCAAAAUAAAAAAAUAAAA